rnacentral:tRNA from 1 species
UCCCUGGUGGCUCAGACGGUAAAGCGUCUGCCUCCAAUGCGGGAGACCUGGGUUCAAUCCCUGGGUUGGGAA